UACAGAGGUCUCGAGCGUUAGGCGGAAUCACUGGGCUUAAAGCGUGUGUAGGUGGAUGGGUAAGUACCUUGUGAAAUCCCACGGCUCAACCGUGGAACUGCUUGGUAUACUGCUUAUCUUGAGUCACUCAGGGGCGAGCGGAACAGAUGGUGGAGCGGUGAAAUGCGUAGAUAUCAUCUGGAACGCCAAUGGUGAAGACAGCUCGCUGGGGGUGUACUGACACUGAGACACGAAAGCCAGGGGAGCAAACGGG
rnacentral:rRNA from 1 species